rnacentral:rRNA from 1 species
CUCCGGUUGAUCCCGCCGGACCUGACUGCUAUCGGAUUGGUACUAAGCCAUGCGAGUCGUUGUAGCAAUACAAGGCGGACGGCUCAGUAACACGUAGUCAACCUAACCUAUGGACGUGGAUAACCUCGGGAAACUGAGAAUAAACCGCGAUAGAUCAUUAUGCCUGGAAUGGCUUAUGGUUCAAACAAUUUAUUGCCGUAGGAUGGGACUGCGGCCUAUCAGCUUGUUGGUGAGGUAAUGGCCCACCAAGGCUAUAACAGGUACGGGCUCUGAGAGGAGAAGCCCGGAGAUGGGUACUGAGACACGGACCCAGGCCCUAUGGGGCGCAGCAGGCGAGAAACCUUAGCAAUGUGCGAGAGCACGACUAGGUUAAUCCGAGUGAUUUCUGUUGAAGAAAUCUUUUGUCAGUCGUAAAACCACAGACGAAUAAGGGGUGGGCAAGUCUGGUGUCAGCCGCCGCGGUAAUACCAGCACCUCGAGUGGUCAGGAGGUUUAUUGGGCCUAAAGCAUCCGUAGCCGGCUACGCAAGUCUCCGGUUAAAUCCAGCUGCUCAACAGAUGGGCUGCCGGAGAUACUACAUAGCUAGGGAGCGGGAGAGGUAGACGGUAUUCUGUGGGUAGGGGUAAAAUCCACUGAUCCAUAGAGGACCACCAGUGGCGAAGGCGGUCUACCAGAACGCGUUCGACGGUGAGGGAUGAAAGCUGGGGGAGCAAACCGGAUUAGAUACCCGGGUAGUCCCAGCUGUAAACGAUGCAAACUCGGUGAUGCAUUGGCUUAUGGCCAAUGCAGUGCCGCAGGGAAGCCGUUAAGUUUGCCGCCUGGGAAGUACGGACGCAAGUCUGAAACUUAAAGGAAUUGGCGGGGAGCA